ACUUGGUGAUGUGGGCAUUUACAAAGCAGGCCCCUAAAGCGCUCUCAAGUCUCGAAAAAGGGUUCCCCAUCCAUUUGUGAGAAACUUGUGAUGGAUCUCCGAAGCU